GUUAUUGGUAAAAACAUUGAGCCAUAAUUUUGAAGAUCUAAACGAGCUUCCACGUGAGGCUGUUUUGGCGUUCAUUAGUUGUGCAUUUGAGCGGACAGAUACUAAUCUUGAGUCGGUAUUGGAACUACUUGCAAUUUUUGAGGGCUGCCACUGCUGAAAAAGUGCAUUCUCUAGAGUUAAUUGGAGGAAUUUUCAAAUUUGUGGAGGCAUCUCUGGACAAGGCUGAAAAUCUUGACACCUUUGAGGAAUUGUAUGUUGUCCCUCUCAUGGAU